ACCAGGAUAUCAUUUUAAGUGCCUGAAAGUGCUAGAGCAACCGAUAUGCCCAUAUCAUCAAGUACAUUUACAGAGCCGUUUGAAAUUGAAUGAUUGGCUAAUUGUUGGUUAUUCAUAGAGUCAAAACGUUAAAUUGACACGAUUACGAUUACGUACUUAAAGAUAAAAUAUUUUUCCCAGAAGAAAAUAUUUCUAAUCCACCUUACCUGCCUUGUUUUAAUUGUUCGCUCAGCCCAGCACCAACCAGUUCGUUUAUUCUUUCCGUGUCUUCGUCCUUGUGUAAAUUCGAUAUCUUGAGUGCACUUUCCAAGAACUUUUACAAUUAUAUUCGUGGCAGUCGACUACCACUAUUAGUCCGACUGAAGUCGCGCUGUGCUCCACAACUUGCUGCUUCGUCUUUUCGAAGGUGAUAUUCCUUCAUGGUUGGCAGACUUGGUUUAGGGAGACCGAAGGAUUGACAAUAGCAGUUGUGAUUUUUGCGCAUUUAGGAGUGUGUGCUCCCGAUUUUAUGUGGCACGCGAGAUGAGAUAUUCUUAUAGACAUAGGAACGUAUCGUGGUUAUCUAUGGUUUGUGAUCAAAACGUGGAACCUUGAAGAUUGAUGAUAGUAGCUAGCGGUUUGAAGGCAAUUAAUUUUUUUUUUUUUUUAUACGCGCAUUGUUUCAGUAGCUUCGUAUGAUAAGUAGUGAAAAGCACAUAGACCUCGACUUUACUUAUAUUACAUGGAUAAGCAAUAUCCUGCAAUAGUCAAGACCGGUUUUCAAGAAAGGUCGCCGAAACUCGAUUUCGUCACGUGGCGCAUUUACGUAAAAUUUUCUUAAUGUGUUACCGUCCAUUAUUAGCAUUAGUUGGCACGAUGAAAAACUGAAAAUUGCGUAAUGAUUAACCAAAGCAGUGAUCAUUAGAGAAAGCACAAUGGAAACCAGUGAAAAAUUUGACAGUCCGAAUCCGAGGCUCAAAGCCAACGUAAUCAGCAAAAUAUUUUUCUGUUGGCUGAUCCCAUUGUUUUGCUAUGGUAGACGUAAUGAAAUCGAACCAAAGGAUAUUCACAAAGUUUUGCCGAGGGAAGUUAGCGAAACACUCGGUAAUCAGUUGGAAAGCUAUUGGAAAGAAGAAUUGGAAUAUGCCAAAAAUAAAAAAACAAAACCAAACUUUCACAAAGCUAUCCUCAGAACUUUUUUCUGGCCCUUCAUAUACAUUGGAAUCUACUCUUUCGUCCUGACCGUCGUCAUCAAACUGUUGCAGCCGAUAGCUCUGAGUCUUUUAAUCCGACACUUCUCUCCAGGUGCCACCUCGACUACGAACGAAGCUUACCUCUACGCUUCCGGGGUUGUACUCAUGGGGUUCAUGGAGUCCAUAAUAAUAUGCCACAUAACAUAUAGUGGCCGAGAACUUGGUAUGCAAGUCAGGGUCGCUUGCUCGUCUUUGAUCUACAGAAAAGUUAUGCGAUUGUCCUGUGCAUCGGCGAGUCAAGGAGGACACGUGCUUACCCUAUUGUCUAACGAUGUGACCAGAUUUGAACAAGUUUACGCAUUUUUAAACUACGUCUGGAUAACGCCUAUUCAGCUAAUAGUGGUAGCUUACCUUACCUGGAUGAGCGUUGGAGUAGCCUCGUUGGCUGGGAUAGUUUGUAUGGUCCUUCAGACAAUACCGUUGCAAAUUUACUUCGGGAGGCUAACACACGCGUUCCGUCACAAGAUAGCGGUGCAAACUGACGGCAGAGUAUCGUUGACAAGCGAGAUAAUCAAUGGAAUACGCGUGAUCAAAAUGUACACCUGGGAGCCAAUUUUCAAGAAGCUUGUCUGUACCGCGAGAAAACUCGAGCUGGCAGAGAUAUCAGUAUUGAACUACUUGAAAGGUGUUGUUUGGGCCUCAGGAAUGUACUCUGAGCGCACGUCAGUUUUCUGCUGCAUUUUGGUCUAUACCCUGCAAAACAACAUUUUGUCAGCAGAUAAAAUAUACUCAGUGGUUCAGCUUUUCUGCGUGCUGCAAUUUACUUUUGGUUCCUUGGUUCCUCGGGGCUUGCAUUUUUAUGCAGAGUCUCAGGUAUCGGCCAUCAGGAUUCAGAAUUUUUUACUAUCUGAGGAAAUUGAGACCACCGAUCGAAAACGGGUCAAGAGCGGUGAAGCCAAUAUCUCUAUUUCGAAAGUGACGGCUUCGUGGACUAAGGAGUCGAUUACGGAUACUCUUCAAGAGGUCAAUGCCACUGUGCCGGCGAAGAGCUUGUGUGCUGUUGUCGGCCCUGUUGGGGCAGGCAAGAGUUCUCUUCUAAAAUUGAUAUUAGGCGAGUUACGGCCAAGCAUUGGUCGCGUGGACAUCCAAGGUAGUGUUUCCUACGCUAGCCAGGAACCCUGGCUGUUUUCUGGAUCUGUGAGGAACAACAUCCUUUUUGGGCAGUCCUACGACGAAGAAAAGUAUAACAAAGUGACUAAAGCAUGCUGUCUCACCGAAGACUUCAAGCAGCUUCCUUACGGAGAUCGGACCCUCGUGGGCGAGAAAGGGUCUGCUCUCAGUGGUGGUCAGUGUGCUAGAGUAAAUCUAGCUAGAGCUGUAUAUAGAGACGCUGAUAUCUAUUUGUUAGACGAUCCUCUAUCAGCGGUUGAUACCCGGGUUGGUAAACGCCUCUUCGAAGACUGCAUCAACGGAUACUUAAAAGGUAAAAUUCGCGUUUUGGUGACUCAUCAAAUGCAAUGUUUAAUCAAGGCAGAUGUGGUUGUUUAUCUCAAAAGGGGUAUCGUUGAGUUCCAAGGAGAUUUCGAGAAUUUCCAAAUGCACGACCAACAAUUUUUGUACAAGCAGAAAAAUCACGCUAACAAGAGGCAGCUUUCCGUAGAAAACAUGGUCGAAACAGAAGAUAAUGGACUUGUUGGCUUAAGCAAAUCCGAUGUUGACAACAAACAGGAAGAACCGAUAAAAAAUGAAGAACAGGUGGCGAAAGGAAGCUUAUCCUUGUCUCUCUAUUGGCAGUAUUUUAAAGCGAAUGGCUCAUACUGCUUGCUUUUUGUGUACCUCGUUGUAACUAUAUCGGCUCAAGUAUUUACCAGCGGCUCCGACUAUUGGGUGUCGUAUUGGAUUAAUCAAGACCAAACUCGUAUGAGAGUACAUUAUGCUGCCGAAGGACAAAAUAGUGAUGCGAAUGUAUCGCCAUACCUUGACCGAACGUUCGCACUUAAUGUUAUGGCAAUACUAGUGUUUGGUUGUGUCAUCUUUGCAACAGCGAAAAAUGUUUUAUUUUAUAUUAUUUGUAAAAGAUCGAGUUACAACAUCCACAAUAGAAUGAUCGAUUCCGUAUUGAAAGCGACCGUGAAUUUUUUCGACGCCAACUCGUCGGGUCGUAUCCUCAAUCGCUUUUCCAAAGAUCUUGGCGCUGUAGACGAGGUUCUUUCGUUAGCUAUGAUGGAUUCGUUUCAGGUAUUUUCCCUAGUAACUGGAGUUGUGGUUCAAAUAAUUAUAAUCCAUUGGUGGAUGAUCGUUCCAAUGUGCAUCAUGCUUAUUAUCAACAUCAACAUACACAAUGUUUAUCUCCAAACGGCACGCUGUGUUAAAAGAUUAGAAGGGAACACUAAAAGUCUUGUAUUGGCUCACGUUAAUUCAACCCUCGACGGUCGGCUAACGAUCAGAUCGUGUCAAGCUGAAUCAAUGGUCUGCAAAGUGUUCGAUCAUCACCAAGACGCCCACACCGCGACGUUUUCGCUCGUUCUUACAACCAGUACAGCCUUCGGAUUUUGGGUGGACUUGAUUGCAAUGUUCUUCGUUGCUCUCGUCACCUACAGUUUUGUUGUACUUGGUACAAACGAUUUCUCAGGAAGCGCUGUGGGUCUAGCCAUCACUCAGAUACUUUCCAUUACGAUUCUACUACAACAUGGUAUGAAGAUGAGUGCUGAGAUGGUCACGCAAAUGGUCGGAGUCGAAAGGCUUUUCCAAUUCACUCAUCUCGAAGAAGAAGGUCCAUUAGAGAGUAAGCCUGGAAAGAAACCUCCAAAAUCUUGGCCAUGUAAAGGAGAACUUGAAUUUGUGAAACUAAAUCUCAGGUACAACGAUGGCGCGGAUACUGUCUUGAAGAAUCUCAAUCUAAAGAUUGAGCCAGGAAUGAAGGUAAUCGAAUGUUGGAAUAGUUGGGCGGACAGGUGCAGGGAAGUCUUCUCUCAUAUCAGCGCUCUUUCGGCUCGUAAAAGUCGAAGGCGGGUUAAUCAUCGAUGGUGUAGAUACCACUAGUAUCGGCCUCAGGGACUUGCGCAGCAAACUCUCGAUCAUCCCUCAAGAACCGAUACUGUUUACCACGACUCUCCGUGACAACCUGGACCCUUUUCAUGAGAUUCCCGAUGAUGCGCUAUGGUCAGCUUUACAAGACGUUGAACUGAACAAAGCUUUUGUUUCUCUCGAUCAAUCGGUUGAUCAGAGUGGCGGCAGUCUAAGCGCUGGUCAGCGACAACUGCUGUGUUUAGCAAGGGCUAUUGUGAAGAGGAACAAGAUUCUCGUCUUGGACGAGGCUACUGCCAACGUGGAUCCAGCCACGGAUGCUUUGAUACAGAAAACCAUUAGAAUCAAUUUCAAAGACUGCACUGUAUUAACUAUAGCACACAGAUUAAAUACAAUUAUGGACAGUGAUCGAGUCCUAGUGAUGAAUUUUGGAGAAGCAGUGGAGUUCGAGCAUCCAUACAUUCUACUUCAAAAUCACAAUGGGUAUUUUUACAAGAUGGUUGAGCAGACUGGAAGUAUGAUGGCCAAGCGACUGGAGAAAAUUGCAGAGAAAGCUUACAAAAGUUAAACGUUUGCACUUACUGCUGAAAAUCGAAUCAAACUAAGCAUAUCAUGAAAAAGCGUAAAUUUUUCUCUUAUUCUAUCAACCCGUCGCAUUGUAUAUUACAUAAUAUCCAAUUCUAGAGCUACACUGUUUUCUUCAUUGUGCAUGUCAACCCUUUGCAUCAUGAUUUUGUAAUUAUUAUCAUAAGUUUUUAUAAUAAAUUCUUGCUGGUUAAUUAAAACAUAA